UACGUAGGGUGCAAGCGUUGUCCGGAAUUAUUGGGCGUAAAGAGCUCGUAGGCGGCCUGUUGCGUCCGCUGUGAAAGCCCGGGGCUUAACCCCGGGUCGGCAGUGGAUACGGGCAGGCUAGAGGUAGGUAGGGAGAAUGGAAUUCCCGGUGUAGCGGUGAAAUGCGCAGAUAUCCGGAAGAACACCGGUGGCGAAGGCGGUCUGCUGGCAGUUGCUGACACUGAGGCGCGACAGCGUGGGAGCAACAGG
rnacentral:rRNA from 1 species